UACGAAGGGGGCUAGCGUUGCUCGGAAUUACUGGGCGUAAAGCGCACGUAGGCGGCUUGUUAAGUCAGGGGUGAAAUCCUGGAGCUCAACUCCAGAACUGCCUUUGAUACUGGCGAGCUUGAGUUCGGGAGAGGUGAGUGGAACUGCGAGUGUAGAGGUGAAAUUCGUAGAUAUUCGCAAGAACACCAGUGGCGAAGGCGGCUCACUGGCCCGAUACUGACGCUGAGGUGCGAAAGCGUAGGGAGCAAACAGG
rnacentral:rRNA from 1 species